UUUCACCACGAAACGGAUGUAUGGGCGAAGGACACGGCUACCUGGAUGGAUGUUAACUUAGGUCGCGAUCCCGACGGCGGCCCGUGUCGAGUCUACAGCAAGCGUCUGCACCUGAGUUAUCAAUGCUCUGAAACAUUCAACAAAAGUCAUUUUUUUACCGUUUCUGGGUAUUGAUAAGGAUCACAACCGUAGACCAAGUUACUUUGCCUUCAACUGCAGUGGCAUCCCAGAAGGUCAG